rnacentral:lncRNA from 1 species
AGUUGUGUAUUUUUAGUUGUGGGUCCUUCUAGUUGUGGCAUGUGGGAUGCCGCUUCAGUAUGGCUUGAUGAGCGGUGCCAUGUCCUCGCCCAGGAUUGGAACUGGCGAAACCCUGGGCUGCGGAAGUAGAGCGCGAGAACUUAACCACUCAGCCACGGGGCGGCCCCUGGACGUAACUUCUGAGACCACUAACAUCUUCUAUUAAAUAUGAGGAGAGAGAGUCUUAGGUUGAAACCAUUGCUGAGAACAGCACAGCGGGAAGAUGAAAGAAAACUACAGCCUUUGCAAUAUUCUUAAGCUCUUUUUCAUACUAUGCCAGAGGCCCUACAGCUGGACUUCCAACUACGUAUUUGGAAGCCCAGGGGAUUCUAAUUCCAUCAAAAUUUGAGAGGCACUGACUUCCAAGGCCACAGCCAUAAACCUUCACCACCACUUACUAGGCAAUGUUUCACCUUUCUGGACCCGUUUACGCAUCUGUGUAGUCGUCCUAUCUAACCUGCAGGUCUACAGCGGACUGAAGGCAAAUCACAUGUGGGGUGAAACGGCUUCUCUAAUCCAGUAUUUUCAUAUUGCUGCGAUGUGCAUUAAGUAGAUACAAAAAUAAGCAAAUUAGGGUUGGCAGAGACGUUGGCUUUAAUGGUAAAAUUAACGGAAAUGAUGAAUGGUAGGACGAUGCCUUCUCUACCUUGAGCCACUGAGCUUCCACUCCUCUCAGGAUCAUGGCAUGACUUGAGGUGAUGACCCUCAGCUACUCUGGUCACACUGUUGUGAAAACGCCUAGAAAAGUUAAAAACAUGAGUGUUGGGAAAGAGGAGAUUUGGAUGAGGGCCCUAAAUUCACUUUUUGGACCAAGGUAUGUUUUACUGGCAAACACUUUCAGUAAUGUCUGCAUGUGCAACAGAAACAUUUCCCUCGACGCUCUAAAAAGAAGAAAAAGAAAAGAAGAGAAA